ACUCGGGAGGCACAGGCAGGAGGAUCUCUGUGAGUUUGGGGCCAGCCUGGUCUAAAAGAGCGAGUUUCGGGACAACCUGAGCUACACGGAGAAACAACAAAUUUCUUUGAAACUCUCAUAAAGGUGUCCUCGAGCUUCCUUUGGAGUCCAUUCUCAUGCUCUUUGAAUAAUGAGACGAUGAACCCCAAGAGGAGGACCCUGACUUCUCCAGUAAUUCGUGACCUCUCUGGUGGGACUCCUCAGUAAUACAAGAGCCUAGUGGAGCUUUUUUUUUUUUUUCUUUCCUGGCUGCCUAUUGGCCACCUGGGCCUCCAGGUAGCCAUCCGUCCUUGCUUCUCAAAGCUGCCUUCAGAAAGCCAAGCAACCACUGUCUCCAUCCAUUAAUGGAGCCCCGUUUUGGAAAAUACGUGAAACCCACAGGAUUCUGUCCUCCCUUGGUUUAACUCAAGCUGCCCAGUCCUGACCCUCAAAGGGAUGAAAAGCCACCCUGCCCUGGUGUGGGUGAUCAACUGAGCCAUUUGCAUCUGGAAGUUUCUGUCUGUCCCCAUGCUUAACCCAGCCCCCUAGCAGUGUUGCCCAGAAGAGGGCAAACAGUUUCGCUUCCUCUGGAGGAGAUGUGAAAAAAAAUAAAGACGGGCGGCCAAAGCAGGAAGAGGAAGGGAGGGUGCCCAUAUUUAUAGAGAAACCCCAGUUGCCGGACCAGAGUGCCACGUGUGGGAGCUGCUCACACACUUAUGCACAUGGCUAAGAGGAGCCAAGCCCUGCCCAAGAGCUUGUGGGAAAAGACUGGAGGGCAGCACUAGGGGGUGUCCUGGGCUACACAAUCCCUCCACACACUACCCUGCAAUAAAGGACACCAAGAAGAGGACCAAUGACCAGCCGAGUCGUCGCCACCUCUACCAUCCAUACCCACCGUCCCCCGUGUUGGACACCCAGCCACUAAGCCCAAGGACGCCCGAUUCCGGGAGAUCCAGGGAGCACACAGUGGCCCAGCAGAGAUGAUUUCAAAGUGAGUGACUGACAUCUGGAGACUUUCGAAACUCCGGGACAGAAGGGACAGAACCAACCAAACCCCUGACUCCAGAGGAGGAGUAGGAUUUCUAACCCAGUCAGGGUUUGCGCUCUCUCUCUCUCUCUCUCUCUCUCUCUCUCUCUCUCUCUCUCUCUCUCUCUCUCUCUCCAUGCUCUCCAGGAGUCCCUGCAUACAGGGUGACACUGGGACAGUGUGGAGGAAGUGGCGGCCACCAUUUGAUGCAGAGGACUAAGUUACUCCCUACAGUCAGCUACCAGGGACCUGGGAAGCGCGGGUGUCAGUCCAGCCCCAGGAAAACCUUUAGGCUUUCCCAUUCUUCUUCACACAACGGGACAGGUCCACCACAUUCUCAGCAAGCAAACACCAGAGGAACACCUGGUGGGAGAGGAAGAGACGGGAGCCCAGGCUGUCAGCCCCCAAGCCUCACUUUGGGUGGCACCGGGAGAUGAGCCGUGUAGGAGACAAGAGCGAACCCUCUGCUAAGAUUUAUUUUUAAAAAAAUGGUUUCUU